rnacentral:misc_RNA from 1 species
GAUGAAGAACGUAGCAAAAUGCGAUAAGUAAUGUGAAUUGCAGAAUUCAGUGAAUCAUCGAAUCUUUGAACGCACAUUGCGCCCGCCAGUAUUCUGGCGGGCAUGCCUGUUCGAGCGUCAUUUCAACCAUCAAGCCCCCGGCUUGUGUUGGGGACCUGCGGCUGCCGCAGGCCCUGAAAACCAGUGGCGGGCUCGCUAGUCACUCCGAGCGUAGUAAUACAUCUCGCUCAGGGCGUGCUGCGGGUUCCGGCCGUUAAAAAGCCUUAUUUACCCAAGGUUGACCUCGGAUCAGGUAGGAAGACCCGCUGAACUUAAGCAUAUCAAUAAGCGGAGGA